rnacentral:rRNA from 1 species
UACGGGGGGUGCAAGCGUUAUCCGGAAUUAUUGGGCGUAAAGCGUCCGCAGGUGGCUAAUCAAGUCUGCUGUCAAAGGUUGGGGCUUAACCCCAAAAAGGCAGUGGAAACUGAGAAGCUAGAGUGCAGUAGGGGUAGAGGGAAUUCCCGGUGUAGCGGUGAAAUGCGUAGAGAUCGGGAAGAACAUCGGUGGCGAAAGCGCUCUACUGGACUGCAACUGACACUCAGGGACGAAAGCUAGGGGAGCGAAUGGG